GACGAACGCUGGCGGCGUGCCUAAUACAUGCAAGUCGAGCGAACAGACGAGGAGCUUGCUCCUCUGACGUUAGCGGCGGACGGGUGAGUAACACGUGGAUAACCUACCUAUAAGACUGGGAUAACUUCGGGAAACCGGAGCUAAUACCGGAUAAUAUAUUGAACCGCAUGGUUCAAUAGUGAAAGACGGUUUUGCUGUCACUUAUAGAUGGAUCCGCGCCGCAUUAGCUAGUUGGUAAGGUAACGGCUUACCAAGGCAACGAUGCGUAGCCGACCUGAGAGGGUGAUCGGCCACACUGGAACUGAGACACGGUCCAGACUCCUACGGGAGGCAGCAGUAGGGAAUCUUCCGCAAUGGGCGAAAGCCUGACGGAGCAACGCCGCGUGAGUGAUGAAGGUCUUCGGAUCGUAAAACUCUGUUAUUAGGGAAGAACAAAUGUGUAAGUAACUAUGAACGUCUUGACGGUACCUAAUCAGAAAGCCACGGCUAACUACGUG
rnacentral:rRNA from 1 species